rnacentral:rRNA from 1 species
AGAGUUUGAUCCUGGCUCAGAUUGAACGCUGGCGGCAUGCCUUACACAUGCAAGUCGAACGGCAGCGCGUCCUUCGGGAUGGCGGCGAGUGGCGAACGGGUGAGUAAUACAUCGGAACGUGCCCGAUCGUGGGGGAUAACGAAGCGAAAGCUUUGCUAAUACCGCAUACGAUCUACGGAUGAAAGCGGGGGAUCUUCGGACCUCGCGCGGACGGAGCGGCCGAUGGCAGAUUAGGUAGUUGGUGGGAUAAAAGCUUACCAAGCCGACGAUCUGUAGCUGGUCUGAGAGGAUGAUCAGCCACACUGGGACUGAGACACGGCCCAGACUCCUACGGGAGGCAGCAGUGGGGAAUUUUGGACAAUGGGGGCAACCCUGAUCCAGCCAUGCCGCGUGCAGGAUGAAGGCCUUCGGGUUGUAAACUGCUUUUGUACGGAACGAAAAGGUUCUCUCGAAUAAAGAGGGCUCAUGACGGUACCGUAAGAAUAAGCACCGGCUAACUACGUGCCAGCAGCCGCGGUAAUACGUAGGGUGCAAGCGUUAAUCGGAAUUACUGGGCGUAAAGCGUGCGCAGGCGGUGAUGUAAGACAGAGGUGAAAUCCCCGGGCUCAACCUGGGAACUGCCUUUGUGACUGCAUCGCUGGAGUGCGGCAGAGGGGGAUGGAAUUCCGCGUGUAGCAGUGAAAUGCGUAGAUAUGCGGAGGAACACCGA